CCCGGAGGAGGAAGAGGCGGGGUUGACGGCGCUCCUCAGACGCCAAGCUUCUUUCUCAUAAGCCACCUUUCAGUUUUGAGUGAAGGUGGGCAUGUGGAAUCCCUACGGCCCAAGAUCGCAUUCCUUCUAGCCUUCGAGCCUGCUAGAGAGGCCCAGUUGGUACGAUAAUACUUAUUCACCAAGCUGGUCAUCGACGAGAGUGAGGAUACCCUAGACGGAGCAAGAAUGGGCAGAGGCUGAAGAGCCGACUAUGAAGCCAACAUUUCAAGCAUAGAAAAUUGAUUCUACAUAGCCUCUUUUACAAGGCGACGUUUUUCUUUUUAACCUUAAAGUACAGGAAAAAUGGACAAGAACACUUUGGAGAUAAUAUGGUGAGUUGGUUCCAUUCCUGUCAGUUGUCUUCCCCACUACCUAUUGUCCUGGUCUAAACAACUAUGAGAAUUCUGGCCUUUUUUAAGUGAGUGAUCACAAGAUGAUUAAGUUCUCACUCACCUCUGUGAAUGCCUCAAUAUGGAAAGCUUUAUCUUUGAGGGCAAGAAAGUUGCCCAGCCACCUAUGUUGGAGUUCUUAAGUGGUCUCUUACCACCAUUCAGAUCCACCCACCACCACACAUUAAUUAAUGUGAAACCAAUCAAACAAAGGAAAGACCUGAGGCACCAGGCUCCAGAUGCUGCCCCUAGAAUCUUUUCCAUUGUGAUAACCAAGUGUUUUCCAGAGUUGGGGAAGGGUAGAAAGAUAAAGAGGGUGUUGAAGAGGGAAGGAAGAGAGGAUGGGGAGGCCAGAGAGCUUAGCAUAGUGUUUCUGUUUGUGUAUCCCGAUUUGUGAUUGGGUAGGCUUUUCAAGUUAUCUGAGGCCGUGGAGGUGAAAUGGGGACUAAAAAGAAGUUGGUUCAAGCAUAUUAUCAUUCAGUUU